CCUACGGGCGGCAGCAGUGAGGAAUAUUGGUCAAUGGGCGAGAGCCUGAACCAGCCAAGUAGCGUGAAGGAUGACUGCCCUACGGGUUGUAAACUUCUUUUAUAAAGGAAUAAAGUGAGGCACGUGUGCCUUUUUGUAUGUACUUUAUGAAUAAGAACCGGCUCACUCCGUGCCAGCAGCCGCGGUAAUACGGAGGGUCCGAGCGUUAUCCGGAUUUAUUGGGUUUAAAGGGAGCGUAGAUGGGUUGUUAAGUCAGUUGUGAAAGUUUGCGGCUCAACCGUAAAAUUGCAAUUGAUACUGGCAGCCUUGAGUACAGUUGAGGUAGGCGGAAUUCGUGGUGUAGCGGUUAAAUGCUUAGAUAUCACGAAGAACUCCGAUUGCGAAGGCUGCCUACUAAACUGCCACUGACAUUGAUGCUCGAAAGUGUGGGUAUCAAACAGGAUUAGAUACCCGUGUAGUC
rnacentral:rRNA from 1 species